AGUAAAGUGGCGCACGGGUGAGUAACGCGUAGGUAACGUGCCUUAUAGUGGGGGACAACAUGGGGAAACCGGUGCUAAUACCGCAUAAGCAAGUAAUUGGAAAGGUGGCUUCGGCUAUCGCUGUAAGAUCGGCCUGCGUAGCAUUAGCUAGUUGGUGGGGUAAUGGCCUACCAAGGCGACGAUGCUUAACUGGUCUGAGAGGAUGAUCAGUCACACUGGAACUGAGACACGGUCCAGACUCCUACGGGAGGCAGCAGUAGGGAAUAUUGCACAAUGGGGGAAACCCUGAUGCAGCAAUGCCACGUGAGUGAGGAAGGUCUUAGGAUUGUAAAGCUCUGUCCUAUGGGAAGAAUGGUAUUAUGGCUAAUAUCCAUAGUAUUUGACGGUACCAUAGAAGAAAGCACCGGCUAACUCCGUGCCAGCAGCCGCGGUAAUACGGAGGGUGCAAGCGUUGUUCGGAUUUACUGGGCGUAAAGCGCGCGCAGGCGGAUUGAUAAGUCAGAUGUGAAAUCUCGGGGCUUAACCUCGAAACUGCGUCUGAAACUAUCGAUCUAGAAUGUCAUAGGGGGUAGGGGAAUUUCACGUGUAGGGGUAAAAUCCGUAGAGAUGUGAAGGAACACCGGAGGCGAAGGCGCCUACCUGGAUGAUUAUUGACGCUGAGGCGCGAAAGCGUGGGGAGCAAACAGGAUUAGAUACCCUGGUAGUCCACGCCGUAAACGAUGAGUACUGGCCCUUGGAGGUAUUGACCCCUUCAGGAGCGUAGCUAACGCGUUAAGUACUCCGCCUGGGAAGUACGGUCGCAAGACUAAAACUCAAAGGAAUUGACGGGGGCCCGCACAAGCGGUGGAUUAUGUGGUUUAAUUCGAAGCAACGCGCAAAACCUUACCUAGGCUUGAAAUCCACGGAAUUCGGGGUAACGCCUGAAGUGCCCGCAAGGGAAUCGUGAGACAGGUGCUGCAUGGCUGUCGUCAGCUCGUGUUGUGAAAUGUUGGGUUAAGUCUCGCAACGAGCGCAACCCCUAUCUUUAGUUGCCAGCAUUAAGUUGGGC
rnacentral:rRNA from 1 species